rnacentral:rRNA from 1 species
UACGUAGGUGGCAAGCGUUAUCCGGAUUUAUUGGGCGUAAAGGGAACGCAGGCGGUCUUUUAAGUCUGAUGUGAAAGCCUUCGGCUUAACCGGAGUAGUGCAUUGGAAACUGGGAGACUUGAGUGCAGAAGAGGAGAGUGGAACUCCAUGUGUAGCGGUGAAAUGCGUAGAUAUAUGGAAGAACUCCGAUUGCGAAGGCAGCUCACUGGACUGCAACUGACACUGAGGCUCGAAAGUGUGGGUAUCAAACAGG